ACCCUAUCUCCGAAUAUACUCACACUGGAGGGGUAGAGAUUCCACACAUGAAUUUGGGUGUGCACAGGAGCGAGUCUAAGGUACUCUCUCCCACUCCCCGAGCACCAUGCCAUGUGAUCUGACUACUUGAAAGUUUGCGAGUUGCUUUUAAACCCAAAGGAAAGACUAUCACAGAAAAUGUUUUCUUUUUUCCUCUCAACUCUGUUUGCAAGUAAUGUUUUUGUCAUGAUGAAAAUCAUUUUUUCAAAGGAGUCCAGCUGUUUGAGCGAUCUGCAUCGGAAGUGGGAGAGCAAUUGAAGAGUUGCAUUUUCCUCUUUGAGAGUGAACAGGAGUGGAACACAUGCAGCAAGAACCUUCCAGAGGACCAGGGUUGGAGUUUGCAGCUGAUACUCCCAAGUCAACAGGAAAAUAUAGCGUGUUAAGUGCUGUGAUGAGAAGCUAGAGACUGCAUGGAAGCUCAUAAAAAUGGCACUUAACCUACGCUUGGAAAAUUUCCAGAAGGCUUACUGGAGGAAGUGGGGUCCAUGUGGAGCUUAAAUGUUGUCUUCUCGACAAACACUGUCCAGUUGAAAUAUAAUGAGAACCACAGAUGUAAUUUAAAAUUUUCUAGCUGUCGCAGAGGCCAUGACAUCUGGGAUCGUCUUAGGAUUCUGACUACCAUACACAUUAAAAAGGCAAAACCCUCUUAAGAAGAACAGUAACACAGAAGGAUUUGCUCUACUGGAUACUAAGUUAUUAUAAAACCAAGUUUUCAAGGAUGAAGCUGUCCUGGUCCUCCCUCCAUCCUCUGUGGCCUGGUGUCUGUCUACUGAUCUGGGGAAAUUCACAGAAACAGGCUGGAGCUUUCUGCCAGAGCCUCCACUGGGAACCAGACCCUGUUCCUGGGGUGGGGCAGGCAGGCCUCUGUCCUGGGGUGUUGGCAUUUACAAUGCACAAAAACUAUUAAAUACAGUUUUAAAGCUUAGCACAUAGGAAGAGCUACUAGAAAGUUCUGGAGGCCCAUUCUCACAGCCUGCCCUUGACACUAGUCAUGAAGGCCUUGAUGUAGGCUCAAGUAGGUGGGGUGCUGAGCCUCCUGUGGGCCCCUCUGGCUGUGUGCCCUGCCCUGGCACAUGAAGAGUGAACUUCCAGGCCACAGAGAAAUAACACCAUCAAACAUACAGGGAAACUGUCAGAUAGCUGGUCCAGGGGGACAUAUGAGCCACGGCAGGGUGACCUUCCUGACAGAGUUCAACAAGAGCAGAAGGAGGAAAGGGAAGGAGUACUGAGUGACAUAGUAAAACAGGGCUUUGGCUGUAGGAACAGGACAGCCAGCAUGGUUUACAGCUGACCCUCCACAGGUUGAAUAAUUAGGGAGAAAACCCCCAGUGGGGUUACAGUACUACUGUUUUGCACAGCUGUGAAUUCACGAGUGGAGAAGGCCACCUUUUUCCACCCUAUGGAAAGGCCAGCAUCCUUAUUCUAAGGUUCAAGCUGUUGUCAAAUUCUCCCUAGAAUGUCAUGUUUCAGCCCCCUUCUCCCCCCCUCCCCACAAGGAGCUAAUGAUGCUGGAGGGAUGCUAAGAGGUAAGACAUGGGAGCAGAAAUGGGAGACACCCAUGUCCCAAAUGGAACCCAUGGACACAAGUCUGAGGUUCCUCAAGCUCUUCAGUUAAGGCCCCUCUUCCUACUCUCCCUUCCUAGGGACUCCUCAGCCAGAGGCUUCAGGUCCCACCCACAUGGGGAUUCACAGGUUAAUAUUCACAGCCUACCCUCUAGACAAAAUCCUUACCUUGUCCUGCUAACAAAUAUUUGUUGAGCACCCUCCAUGUGUCAUGCCAGGAUCCAAUAGCAAUUCUACCAAGCCACUCCUCUGGGGUGCUUGCAUUCUGCUGAUGUCUCAAAGGCACCUCAAACCCAUCAUGUGCUGAAGGCUGACACUUAGGGAGCCAGGCAUGGUUUUACACACUUUAUGGGUACAGGUGCACCUUGUAGACAUUGUGGUUUCAGUUCUAGGCCAUCACAAUAAAGUGAAUAUUGCAAUAAAGCAA